rnacentral:lncRNA from 1 species
CUCGAGUUGAAUCCCCAAAGCCCGUGGUCAAGCUGGUAUAUGCGCAUAGCAGCUGUGAAGGCAGAAGGUUGCCAAGAACUCAAGUGAGUGAGAGGGCAAGGAAAUAGAGGCUGAGUGGUGAAAAGGCUGAGUCCUUGCUUCCUAGUCCUCAUUAUGGCCCACCUGGUUCCCUGCCUGCAAACCCUGGUCCCAGUGCCUUGGGCACAGACCCUUGGCCCUCAAGCCUUUAUUGCCUCUGCCAUAUCAUGUCCCCCAUCCACCUGCAAUGCAGAGGCAUGGAGAAAAAAGCAGAGCAGUGCAGCUCCCUCCAAUCUCACUCUACGUUUCUCCUUCUCUCCUUUAUUUCUAGAGGCAGAAGGUCUUCAAACAACCACUCUCAGUGCUGCACCAGAAUCCCAAUAGACACAGCAAGUUCUCUGUGGAGCUUCAGAAGCACAAGGUCAGCAGGCAACUGCUAUCAGAGCUGGACCAGACUUCCAAACUACACUUCAAGUCCUCUGUGGAGCUACUGUACUACAGAGGAAUGCAAAGGGAAGAAGUGGAUCAACCUGUGGAGUGAUUUGAUCUCCAGUUCAGACAUUGUGUGCAUUCAGCGCAGAAAGCCAGACUUCGAGGAGCCUGCCUGCAGGACCCCAGGAGCUGUGCUGAAGAUGACUCUGGGAGGUGUUCAGAAGAUGACAUCAGGAAAUGUGCUGAAGACUGCAAAGAGCAGUCAACUGAACAGUCUGUUGAGCAGUGAGCAGAGCAGGGAGACAAGUGGUCAGGUCAAACGUAAAGAGACCAAAUCUAGGCAAUUAAGCAGUGUGAACAUGCUAAAGAGGGAGUCUUCAUUUCUGUACGUUCCUUCAGUGAAGGGAGGGAAGACAGGCAAGAGCAAAGAGGAGAGAAGGGAGAGAAGAAGAAAGGGAGUCCAAGGAGAGGGAGGAGACAGGCAGAAAUUGGAGGUGUCGAGGCAAGGAGGUGUGUAUAUGGUGAGAAAGAGCAAGAGGAAUCGAGGAGCGGGAGUGUAGGGGAUGGGGAAGAGAGCGGAGUGAAGUGUAGGAGAGAGGAGGGAAUGCGCGGACAGAGUGCAGUUUGAGAGGUGCAACACAGGUGGAGAUAGGAGGAGAAGAAAGGAGAGGCAAGGGAAAGAGGGAGGAGGAGUCAGAGGAGCAGGUGAUGGUGAGAGAAGGAUGGAGGGGCAUUAGAGGGUGAGUGGAAGUGAAU